rnacentral:rRNA from 1 species
UACGGAAGGCAGCAGUGGGGAAUAUUGCACAAUGGGCGCAAGCCUGAUGCAGCCAUGCCGCGUGUAUGAAGAAGGCCUUCGGGUUGUAAAGUACUUUCAGUCGUGAGGAAGGUGUUAAGGUUAAUAACCUUAGCAAUUGACGUUAGCGACAGAAGAAGCACCGGCUAACUCCGUGCCAGCAGCCGCGGUAAUACGGAGGGUGCGAGCGUUAAUCGGAAUUACUGGGCGUAAAGGGCACGCAGGCGGUUAAUUAAGUUGGAUGUGAAUCCCCGGGCUUAACCUGGGAAUGGCAUUCAAGACUGGUUAGCUAGAGUCUUGUAGAGGGGGUAGAAUUCCAUGUGUAGCGGUGAAAUGCGUAGAGAUGUGGAGGAAUACCGGUGGCGAAGGCGGCCCCUGGGACAAAGACUGACGCUCAUGUGCGAAAGCGUGGGGAGCAAAACAGGAUUAGAUACC